GACGAACGCUGGCGGCGUGCCUAAUACAUGCAAGUUGAGCGAUGAAGAUUGGUGCUUGCACCAAUUUGAAGAGCAGCGAACGGGUGAGUAACGCGUGGGGAAUCUGCCUUUGAGCGGGGGACAACAUUUGGAAACGAAUGCUAAUACCGCAUAACAACUUUAAACAUAAGUUUUAAGUUUGAAAGAUGCAAUUGCAUCACUCAAAGAUGAUCCCGCGUUGUAUUAGCUAGGUGGUGAGGUAAAGGCUCACCAAGGCGAGGAUACAUAGCCGACCUGAGAGGGCGAGCAGCCACACUGGGACUGAGACCCGGCCCAAACUCAUACGGGAGGCAGCAGUAGGGAAACGUCGGCCAUGGACGAAAGUCUGACCGAGCAACGCCGCGUGAGUGAAGAAGGUUUUCGGAUCGGAAAACUCUGUUGGUAGGGAAGAACGUUGGUGAGAGUGGAAAGCUCAUCAAGUGACGGUAACUACCCAGAAAGGGACGGCUAACUACGUG
rnacentral:rRNA from 1 species